CUACGUAGGGCGCAAGCGUUAAUCGGAAUUACUGGGCGUAAAGCGUGCGCAGGCGGUUCGGAAAGAAGGAUGUGAAAUCCCAGGGCUCCACCUUGGCACUGCAUUCUUAACUACCGAACUAGAGGCUGUCAGAGGGGGGUAGAAUUCCGCGUGUAGCAGUGAAAUGCGUAGGUUUGCGGAGGAAUACCGAUGGUGUAGGCAGCCCACUGGGACAACACUAACGCUCACGCACGAAAGCGUGCGUAGCAAACAGGAUUAGAUGCCCUGGUAGUCCACGCACUAAACGAUGUCAACUAGCUGUUGGGCCCUUCGGGGCUUAGUAGCGUAGCUACCGCAUGACGUUGUCCGCCUGGGGAGUACGGUCGUAAGAUUAAAACUCAAAGGAAUUGACGGGG
rnacentral:rRNA from 1 species